rnacentral:rRNA from 1 species
GACGAACGCUGGCGGCGUGCUUAACACAUGCAAGUCGAACGGAAAGGCCCUGCUUUUGUGGGGUGCUCGAGUGGCGAACGGGUGAGUAACACGUGAGUAACCUGCCCUUGACUUUGGGAUAACUUCAGGGAACUGGGGCUAAUACCGGAUAGGAGCUCCUGCUGCAUGGUGGGGGUUGGAAAGUUUCGGCGGUUGGGGAUGGACUCGCGGCUUAUCAGCUUGUUGGUGGGGUAGUGGCUUACCAAGGCUUUGACGGGUAGCCGGCCUGAGAGGGUGACCGGCCACAUUGGGACUGAGAUACGGCCCAGACUCCUACGGGAGGCAGCAGUGGGGAAUAUUGCACAAUGGGCGGAAGCCUGAUGCAGCAACGCCGCGUGCGGGAUGACGGCCUUCGGGUUGUAAACCGCUUUCGCCUGUGACGAAGCGUGAGUGACGGUAAUGGGUAAAGAAGCACCGGCUAACUACGUGCCAGCAGCCGCGGUGAUACGUAGGGUGCGAGCGUUGUCCGGAUUUAUUGGGCGUAAAGGGCUCGUAGGUGGUUGAUCGCGUCGGAAGUGUAAUCUUGGGGCUUAACCCUGAGCGUGCUUUCGAUACGGGUUGACUUGAGGAAGGUAGGGGAGAAUGGAAUUCCUGGUGGAGCGGUGGAAUGCGCAGAUAUCAGGAGGAACACCAGUGGCGAAGGCGGUUCUCUGGGCCUUUCCUGACGCUGAGGAGCGAAAGCGUGGGGAGCGAACAGGCUUAGAUACCCUGGUAGUCCACGCUGUAAACGGUGGGUACUAGGUGUGGGGUCCAUUCCACGGGUUCCGUGCCGUAGCUAACGCUUUAAGUACCCCGCCUGGGGAGUACGGCCGCAAGGCUAAAACUCAAAGGAAUUGACGGGGCCCCGCACAAGCGGCGGAGCAUGCGGAUUAAUUCGAUGCAACGCGUAGAACCUUACCUGGGUUUGACAUGGAUCGGGAGUGCUCAGAGAUGGGUGUGCCUCUUUUGGGGUCGGUUCACAGGUGGUGCAUGGUUGUCGUCAGCUCGUGUCGUGAGAUGUUGGGUUAAGUCCCGCAACGAGCGCAACCCUUGUUCACUGUUGCCAGCACGUUAUGGUGGGGACUCAGUGGAGACCGCCGGGGUCAACUCGGAGGAAGGUGGGGAUGACGUCAAGUCAUCAUGCCCCUUAUGUCCAGGGCUUCACGCAUGCUACAAUGGCUGGUACAGAGAGUGGCGAGCCUGUGAGGGUGAGCGAAUCUCGGAAAGCCGGUCUCAGUUCGGAUUGGGGUCUGCAACUCGACCUCAUGAAGUCGGAGUCGCUAGUAAUCGCAGAUCAGCAACGCUGCGGUGAAUACGUUCCCGGG